rnacentral:rRNA from 1 species
GACGAACGCUGGCGGCGUGCUUAACACAUGCAAGUCGAACGGAAAGACCCUGCUUUUGUGGGGUGCUCGAGUGGCGAACGGGUGAGUAACACGUGAGUAACCUGCCCUUGACUUUGGGAUAACUUCAGGAAACUGGGGCUAAUACCGGAUAGGAGCUCCUGCUGCAUGGUGGGGGUUGGAAAGUUUCGGCGGUUGGGGAUGGACUCGCGGCUUAUCAGCUUGUUGGUGGGGUAGUGGCUUACCAAGGCUUUGACGGGUAGCCGGCCUGUGAGGGUGACCGGCCACAUUGGGACUGAGAUACGGCCCAGACUCCUACGGGAGGCAGCAGUGGGGAAUAUUGCACAAUGGGCGGAAGCCUGAUGCAGCAACGCCGCGUGCGGGAUGACGGCCUUCGGGUUGUAAACCGCUUUCGCCUGUGACGAAGCGUGAGUGACGGUAAUGGGUAAAGAAGCACCGACUAACUACGUG